ACAUUCCACUAGAUGGCAGAAAUCUAUUUAACAAACCGAAUAUCAUAUCCUCAUGUGUCUGUGUUUGUAGAUCUGACAUUCAGAGCAAAAACAGCAAAACAUGUCUGAAUACACAAAUAUCAUCUACUGCCUUCAGAAGGAAGAUCAGCCAGAGUUAGGCUCGCUGGAUGUGGACAGAACAGAGACAACUGUGAACUAUCGACACACAA